UGUUUGUGCAUAAAUGUGUCGAAAACGUGAAAGAUGAAAAAAGUUGUUGGCUAUGCUAUUUUAUUUACUAGUUUUUUUUUAUUGAUAUAAACAAGGAGAUAUAUAAGACAAGCUGGAAAAGGAGUAAGAAGCCGAGAAUCGUAUAUAUAUAUAUAUUUAUCAACUUAACCCACAAUAAUUAGCAAGAGAAUAUAUUUUAAAACGAGUAUACACUGUGGUCCACCAUGUUAUAAUCACGAAUGUGAAAAACGUCCUCUUGAAGAACCAUCUUUUUUUUCGACAAUGAACCCUUUAAAUCAAAGAGUGAUGAAAAAAAACUGCAGAAGAAAUUGCUUAAGUAGAAAAAAUUGUAUGGCUUUUGUUUACACAUACGACGUAUUGCCAUCCGUCAUUGAAAGAAAGGGUAACUGUUUGUUAUAUGAUUUUAAACCAAAAACCUGGAUAGACGAUAAAGCAUGGCAUGGUAGAGUUUGUUUUGCUGACUGGAAUGACAGUUGUUUUAAAAAUUUACAUAAAGCUCUAUAAUUAUUUUGCAUGGCAUUAAGAGGAUUUUUUUAAAUAUGUAUAUAUAAGCAUUGAAAAAUGACGUGAAACAAA